UUGGCGGACGGGUGAGUAACACGUGAGCAACCUGCCUUUCAGAGGGGGAUAACGUUUGGAAACGAACGCUAAUACCGCAUAACAUUGCUUUAAGGCAUCUUAAGGCAAUCAAAGGAGCAAUCCGCUGAAAGAUGGGCUCGCGUCCGAUUAGAUAGUUGGCGAGGGUAACGGCCCACCAAGUCGACGAUCGGUAGCCGGACUGAGAGGUUGAACGGCCACAUUGGGACUGAGACACGGCCCAGACUCCUACGGGAGGCAGCAG
rnacentral:rRNA from 1 species